AUUGAACGCUGGCGGCAGGCCUAACACAUGCAAGUCGAGCGGAUGACGGGAGCUUGCUCCUUGAUUCAGCGGCGGACGGGUGAGUAAUGCCUAGGAAUCUGCCUGGUAGUGGGGGACAACGUUUCGAAAGGAACGCUAAUACCGCAUACGUCCUACGGGAGAAAGCAGGGGACCUUCGGGCCUUGCGCUAUCAGAUGAGCCUAGGUCGGAUUAGCUAGUUGGUGGGGUAAUGGCUCACCAAGGCGACGAUCCGUAACUGGUCUGAGAGGAUGAUCAGUCACACUGGAACUGAGACACGGUCCAGACUCCUACGGGAGGCAGCAGUGGGGAAUAUUGGACAAUGGGCGAAAGCCUGAUCCAGCCAUGCCGCGUGUGUGAAGAAGGUCUUCGGAUUGUAAAGCACUUUAAGUUGGGAGGAAGGGCAGUAAGCUAAUACCUUGCUGUUUUGACGUUACCGACAGAAUAAGCACCGGCUAACUCUGUGCCAGCAGCCGCGGUAA
rnacentral:rRNA from 1 species